rnacentral:tRNA from 1 species
GGGCUUGUGAUCUAGUGGCUAUGAUGUCGCCCUUACAAGGCGAAUAUCCCCGGUUCGAGUCCGGGCAGGCCCA